rnacentral:misc_RNA from 1 species
GAUGAAGAACGCAGCGAAAUGCGAUACUUGGUGUGAAUUGCAGAAUCCCGUGAACCAUCGAGUCUUUGAACGCAAGUUGCGCCCGAAGCCACUAGGCCGAGGGCACGCCUGCCUGGGCGUCACACGUCGUUGCCCCCCCCCCCCAUCUACCCCUUCGGGAUUGCGGGGGGCGGAUGAUGGCCUCCCGUGCGCCUAGCCGCGCGGUUGGCAUAAAUACCAAGUCCUCGGUGACGCACGCCACGACAAUCGGUGGGUGCGAAACCUCGGUUGCCCGUCGUGUGCGUUCGUCGCGCAUCGAGGGCUCGAAAAAAUGCUCGGCUCCGGCUCGGCUUUCAACGCGACCCCAGGUCAGGCGGGGUUACCCGCUGAAUUUAAGCAUAUCAAUAAGCGGAGGA